rnacentral:lncRNA from 1 species
AAUCUUGAAAGUUAAUCGACGAUUUACAAAAUAAAAAAAGCAUACACUUAUAUCAUAAAAAAAGCCUGAAUUUUGGGCUUUGGUCCCAGGCCCAAAGGCCUAGGUCCAGAUUUGCUCGAAUGAAUCCAAACUUGGGCCUGGUUGCAAGUCUGGCCCAGUUACAACUAUAAGACAUGUUUAUAAAGAGAAAAAGAGGGCUAAUUGUGGUGACCCUGUACUAAUAAAAUCAACGAAAAAACUAAAUUUAUAAAAAAAAUAAAAAAUUAUAACAGUCCCUUUACACAGCUGAAAGUCCAUGAAUGUACAAAAUAACUAAUAGUCUAUCAUUUCAACAAUUUAUCAUGCUAAUGUCCAAGAGAAAACUAAAAAAAAAUAAUCAAAAGGAAAAUCUUUUCCCUUAAUUUCUGGUUUUCUUCUGCCUCCAGGUCCUUCAAACAGGGUGCCAACUUGCAAGGAUUUAGCUAUGGAGCUGUUCCUCACAAGUAGAUACUUCAAACUUCCAGCUUUGAGAUUGUUUGAUUUUUGGCUAUUCUCACACACACAAAAAAAAGAAUGCAGAUUUCAGUGUGAUAAAGAUUCAUUUAACUAGUAUAUCUUUGGGUAAGCAAUUUAGAAAAGAAGGAGGGAGGCUACUUCAGUAGUUAUAGGUCUAGAUUCAAACCCUUCUUGCUUUUAUUUUAGAUAAGAACUUAACUAAAUAGACUACUUUAAUACCCUAGUGAAGUGAUAUAUUAACACAUUUAGAGGAAUCAUGUUCAUUAAAGCAAACAAAUGAGCUAAUAAAGCAUUUAGAAAUUCAGUUUUGUAUUCAACCACUCCAAACAACUGGUUACAGGAGGUGCAAGAAACAUACAUAGGCGUAGAAACUAACCGAGAAAAGACCAAAUAAAGGUCAAAUGGCCAAUGUAGAAAUAUCUCAGCUAAUCAAACACACAACCACUUAGGCAAAAACCAGCCUUGACAGUGCAAAAAACCUAACACACGAGCAGCAAUAUCACAACAUCAAAACUCAAUCCAUCUUCUAGACAAGAAACCUAGGAAAUUUUAAAAGUGAAAAACUUUGGGUAUUCUUUCAGGUUAUUAGAAAUCUGGUUUUUCAGAAGUGUUAUGCAUAGAAUGAUGCUCAAAUAUCCGUGAGAGUAAGGGAAAUCGUUUCUUUAUAUAAAGUGUCCAAAAAAAAGCAUUUAGGGAUUAUUCUACCCUAAAUUCCUAGCU